CCAUGCCUCGGUAUUACUGUGAUUAUUGUGACACUUAUUUAACCCACGAUUCUCCAUCUGUUAGAAAGCAACACAAUGCAGGUUACAAGCACAAGGCAAAUGUGAGAGCCUACUAUCAACAGUUUGAGGAGCAACAAACCCAAAGUUUAAUUGACCAAAGAAUAAAGGAACAUCUUGGCCAAACUGCAGCAUUCCAGCAGGUUGGAGCUGCAUACAAUCAGCAUUUACUGGUACAAAGGCCCCGCCUUCCUGUUCUACCAACGCCAGUAAUGCCCAUUGCAGGGAAUCCACAGUUACCUGUAAAUACACCACUAAUCCCUGGGAUUAGACCUCCUGUUCUGCUAAGACCGGUAUCUGGUGCUCCAGGUUAUGUGUCUGCUCCAGCCAUGCCACAAAUGUUGGCACCGCCUGGUGCUUCUUCCUUACCUGGUCAAGUAAGUGGUCCAAGGCCUCCCAUGGGGAUUCCCCCAACAACUGUUCCUGGGAGUACGCCAGCACCUGCUGCUUCUAGUGGUGCCCCUUCCAUGGCUCCAUCUAAUUAUCAAGCAAACCCAGCAGCACCCACAAGUGGAGGCUUCGACAGCUUCAAUAAUGCUCCGGCUCCUGAGGCUAAUCAUUAGUCUGAUCAAAUUGGCAUGAGAAGAAGCCAAAAAUGCCACCUCUACACUGUGAUGCCUAUAUAA
rnacentral:misc_RNA from 1 species